rnacentral:rRNA from 1 species
UAUGGUCAAGUGAAGAAGCGCAUACGGUGGAUGCCUUGGCAGUCAGAGGCGAUGAAAGACGUGGUAGCCUGCGAAAAGCUUCGGGGAGUCGGCAAACAGACUUUGAUCCGGAGAUGUCUGAAUGGGGGAACCCAGCCAUCAUAAGAUGGUUAUCUUGUACUGAAUACAUAGGUGCAAGAGGCGAACCAGGGGAACUGAAACAUCUAAGUACCCUGAGGAAAAGAAAUCAACCGAGAUUCCCUUAGUAGUGGCGAGCGAACGGGGACUAGCCCUUAAGUGGCUUUGAGAUUAGCGGAACGCUCUGGAAAGUGCGGCCAUAGUGGGUGAUAGCCCUGUACGCGAAAAUCUCUUAGUCAUGAAAUCGAGUAGGACGGAGCACGAGAAACUUUGUCUGAAUAUGGGGGGACCAUCCUCCAAGGCUAAAUACUACUGACUGACCGAUAGUGAACUAGUACCGUGAGGGAAAGGCGAAAAGAACCCCGGAGAGGGGAGUGAAAUAGAUCCUGAAACCGUAUGCGUACAAGCAGUGGGAGCAGACUUUGUUCUGUGACUGCGUACCUUUUGUAUAAUGGGUCAGCGACUUAUUUUCAGUGGCGAGCUUAACCGAAUAGGGGAGGCGUAGCGAAAGCGAGUCUUAAUAGGGCGUCUAGUCGCUGGGAAUAGACCCGAAACCGGGCGAUCUAUCCAUGGGCAGGUUGAAGGUUAGGUAACACUGACUGGAGGACCGAACCGACUACCGUUGAAAAGUUAGCGGAUGACCUGUGGAUCGGAGUGAAAGGCUAAUCAAGCUCGGAGAUAGCUGGUUCUCCUCGAAAGCUAUUUAGGUAGCGCCUCAUGUAUCACUGUAGGGGGUAGAGCACUGUUUCGGCUAGGGGGUCAUCCCGACUUACCAAACCGAUGCAAACUCCGAAUACCUACAAGUGCCGAGCAUGGGAGACACACGGCGGGUGCUAACGUCCGUCGUGAAAAGGGAAACAACCCAGACCGUCAGCUAAGGUCCCAAAGUUAUGGUUAAGUGGGAAACGAUGUGGGAAGGCUUAGACAGCUAGGAGGUUGGCUUAGAAGCAGCCACCCUUUAAAGAAAGCGUAAUAGCUCACUAGUCGAGUCGGCCUGCGCGGAAGAUGUAACGGGGCUCAAACCAUACACCGAAGCUACGGGUAUCACGUAAGUGAUGCGGUAGAGGAGCGUUCUGUAAGCCUGUGAAGGUGAGUUGAGAAGCUUGCUGGAGGUAUCAGAAGUGCGAAUGCUGACAUGAGUAACGACAAUGGGUGUGAAAAACACCCACGCCGAAAGACCAAGGUUUCCUGCGCAACGUUAAUCGACGCAGGGUUAGUCGGUCCCUAAGGCGAGGCUGAAAAGCGUAGUCGAUGGAAAACAGGUUAAUAUUCCUGUACUUCUGGUUAUUGCGAUGGAGGGACGGAGAAGGCUAGGCCAGCUUGGCGUUGGUUGUCCAAGUUUAAGGUGGUAGGCUGGAAUCUUAGGUAAAUCCGGGAUUCUAAGGCCGAGAGCUGAUGACGAGUUACCCUUUGGGUGACGAAGUGGUUGAUGCCAUGCUUCCAAGAAAAGCUUCUAAGCUUCAGAUAACCAGGAACCGUACCCCAAACCGACACAGGUGGUUGGGUAGAGAAUACCAAGGCGCUUGAGAGAACUCGGGUGAAGGAACUAGGCAAAAUGGCACCGUAACUUCGGGAGAAGGUGCGCCGGUGAGGGUGAAGCACUUGCUGCGUAAGCCCACGCCGGUCGAAGAUACCAGGCCGCUGCGACUGUUUAUUAAAAACACAGCACUCUGCAAACACGAAAGUGGACGUAUAGGGUGUGACGCCUGCCCGGUGCCGGAAGGUUAAUUGAUGGGGUUAGCUAACGCGAAGCUCUUGAUCGAAGCCCCGGUAAACGGCGGCCGUAACUAUAACGGUCCUAAGGUAGCGAAAUUCCUUGUCGGGUAAGUUCCGACCUGCACGAAUGGCGUAACGAUGGCGGCGCUGUCUCCACCCGAGACUCAGUGAAAUUGAAAUCGCUGUGAAGAUGCAGUGUAUCCGCGGCUAGACGGAAAGACCCCGUGAACCUUUACUAUAGCUUUGCACUGGACUUUGAAUUUGCUUGUGUAGGAUAGGUGGGAGGCUUUGAAGCGUGGACGCCAGUUCGCGUGGAGCCAUCCUUGAAAUACCACCCUGGCAACUUUGAGGUUCUAACUCAGGUCCGUUAUCCGGAUCGAGGACAGUGUAUGGUGGGUAGUUUGACUGGGGCGGUCUCCUCCUAAAGAGUAACGGAGGAGUACGAAGGUGCGCUCAGACCGGUCGGAAAUCGGUCGUAGAGUAUAAAGGCAAAAGCGCGCUUGACUGCGAGACAGACACGUCGAGCAGGUACGAAAGUAGGUCUUAGUGAUCCGGUGGUUCUGUAUGGAAGGGCCAUCGCUCAACGGAUAAAAGGUACUCCGGGGAUAACAGGCUGAUACCGCCCAAGAGUUCAUAUCGACGGCGGUGUUUGGCACCUCGAUGUCGGCUCAUCACAUCCUGGGGCUGAAGCCGGUCCCAAGGGUAUGGCUGUUCGCCAUUUAAAGUGGUACGCGAGCUGGGUUUAGAACGUCGUGAGACAGUUCGGUCCCUAUCUGCCGUGGACGUUUGAGAUUUGAGAGGGGCUGCUCCUAGUACGAGAGGACCGGAGUGGACGAACCUCUGGUGUUCCGGUUGUCACGCCAGUGGCAUUGCCGGGUAGCUAUGUUCGGAAUAGAUAACCGCUGAAAGCAUCUAAGCGGGAAACUAGCCUCAAGAUGAGAUCUCACUGGAACCUUGAGUUCCCUGAAGGGCCGUCGAAGACUACGACGUUGAUAGGUUGGGUGUGUAAGCGCUGUGAGGCGUUGAGCUAACCAAUACUAAUUGCCCGUGAGGCUUGACCAUA